UGUGUCACUGUGCGGUUACCGAGGUGCGAGGUGUUCCGAGUGUUUUUUAGCAUGUCACUGGGCAGUUACCGAGGUGUUCCGAGUGUUUUUUAGCAUGUCACUGGGCAGUUACCGAGGUGUUCCGAGUGUUUUUUAGCAUGUCACUGGGCAGUUACCGAGGUGUUCCGAGUGUUUUUUAGCAUGUCACUGGGCAGUUACCGAGGUGUUCCGAGUGUUUUUUAGCAUGUCACUGGGCAGUUACCGAGGUGUUCCGAGUGUUUUUUAGCAUGUCACUGGGCAGUUACCGAGGUGUUCCGAGUGUUUUUUAGCAUGUCACUGGGCAGUUACCGAGGUGUUCCGAGUGUUUUUUAGCAUGUCACUGGGCAGUUACCGAGGUGUUCCGAGUGUUUUUUAGCAUGUCACUGGGCAGUUACCGAGGUGUUCCGAGUGGUUUUUAGCGUGUCACUGUGCGGUUACCGAGGUGUUCAGAGUGUUUUUUAGUGUGUCGCUGUGCGGUUA